rnacentral:rRNA from 1 species
GACGAACGCUGGCGGCGUGCUUAACACAUGCAAGUCGAACGGUGAAGCGCCUUACUUUUGGGUUGGUGUGGUGGAGUGGCGAACGGGUGAGUAACACGUGAGUAAACUGCCCCCUUCUUCUGGAUAACCGCAUGAAAGUGUGGCUAAUAAGGGAUAUUCUGGGUCUGUCGCAUGCUGGGUCUGGGCAAGAUAUUGUUUCGGUGGGGGAGGGGCUCGCGGCCUAUCAGCUUGUUGGUGGGGGGAUGGUCUACCAAGGGGGUGAGGUGUGGCCGGCCUGAGAGAGUGGACGCUCACACUGGGACUGAGACACGCGGAAGACUCCUACAGGAGACAGAGGUGUAGAAUAUUGCAGAAUGGGGGCGGAACUGAUGCAGCGACGUCGCGUGAGGGAUGGAGCCGUUCGGGGGGUGAUAAUCUGUCGCUAGUGAAGCAGGCAUGCCGGGACUGGGGGUGGGUUGAGUGUAGCGGAAUAAGAAGCGCCGGCUAACUACGUG